GGCGGCGCGGCCAUGUCCUUUAAAUAAGGCCUUCCCGAGGCGCGCGACAGAGAGGCGUGGGUUGUACGGGCGUGUGAUUGUUUCGCUAGGGUCCAGGUCGCGGUUCGGGGCGGAGACGCCGCGGACCACGAGCCUUCCUUGUGCCUUCAUCGGCUCUCCCGCCCCAGCCCCUCACCGGGCAGAAGCGUGGGAGGUGGAUUAAGUGGGAGCAGGUGAGGCCCGCCCGCUACUGAGAGAUCGACUCCUACGUUUGACUGUCCGUUGCUCACAAACUCUUUAUCCGCACGGGGUGGCAGGAGAAGCACUGAACAUGCAGUGUUGACGUUCAGGCCAGAUGCAAGCCAGAUUUCUAGUGCUGUUGAGUGAAAAUUCUAGAGACAUCCUGCCUCCUUAGGAGCCUGCACUGCCAGGCAGCAGAAUUGUGAACUAGAGUGAAGCAGAAAUCUAGGAAUAUGAGCUCCAUGAUGGCCAUGGGUGAACCAAGGCUGAACUGGGAUGUUUCCCCCAAAAAUGGCCUUAAGACAUUUUUCUCUCGAGAAAAUUAUAAAGAUCAUUCCAUGGCUCCAAGUUUAAAAGAACUAUGUAUUUUAUCUAGCAGACGUAUAGGAGAAAAUUUGAAUGCCUCAGCAAGUUCUGUAGAAACUGAGCCGGCAGUUAGUUCAGCAACUCAAGCAAAGGAAAAAGUGAAAACCACAGUUGGAAUGGUUCUUCUUCCAAAACCAAGAGUUCCUUAUCCUCGUUUCUCUCGUUUCUCACAGAGAGAGCAGAGGAAUUAUGUGGAUUUGUUGGUUAAAUAUGCAAAAAUCCCUGUGAGUUCCAAAGCUGUUGGAAUAAAUAAAAAUGAAUACUUGCAGUACUUGGAUAUGAAAAAACAUGUGAAUGAAGAAGUUACAGAAUUCCUAAAAUUUUUGCAGAAUUCUGCAAAGAAAUGUGCACAGGAUUAUAAUAUGCUUUCUGAUGACGCUCGUCUCUUCACAGAGCAAAUUUUAAAAGCUUGUAUUGAACAAGUGAAAAAGUAUCCAGAAUUCUAUACUCUCCAUGAAGUCACCAGCUUAAUGGGAUUCUUCCCAUUCAGAACAGAGAUGGGAUUAAAGUUAGAAAAAACUCUUCUUGCAUUGGGCAGUGUAAAGUAUGUGAAAACAGUAUUUCCCUCAAUGCCUGCAAAGUUGCAGCUGUCAAAAGAUAUACCUACCACUGAAACACCAGAACAAACAGCUGCAGCUAUGCAUUAUGACAUUAGUAAAGACCCAAAUGCAGAGAAGCUUGUUGCAAGAUAUCACCCUCAGAUAGCUCUAACUAGUCAAGCAUUAUUUACCUUAUUAAAUAAUCAUGGACCAAGCUACAAGGAACAGUGGGAAAUUCCAGUGUGUAUUCAAGUAAUACCUGUCACAGGUUCAAAACCAGUUAAAGUAAUUUAUAUUAAUUCACCACUUCCCCAAAAGAAAAUGACAAUGAGAGAGAGAAAUCAAAUCUUCCAUGAAGUUCCCUUAAAAUGCAUGAUGUCCAAAAACACAACUGUUCCAGUCUCUGCAGUAUUUAUGGACAAACCAGAAGAUUAUAUAUCUGAAAUGGAAUCCAUCUUUGGAAAUGCCCCUUCGAUCCUUGGGAGGGAAAAGAUGUCUUAUGAAGUUAAUGAGUGCCGAAAAAUUGAGACCCAUGAAAACUUGGAUCUGGAUUUUGAUGAUGACGUCACAGAACUUGAAACUUUUGGAGUAACCACCACCAAACCAUCAAAGUCACCGAGUCCAGCAAGUACUUCCAUAGUACCCAACGUGACAGAUAUGCCCACAGCCCCCAGCAUGGCAAUCACAUCUGAGGCACCAAUUGCACCAGACAUUACUGCUCAUUCUAGAAGUAUAUCUCAGAUUCUGAUGGAACAGCUGCAGAAGGAGAAACAGCUGGUGACUGGUAUGGACAAUGGCCCUGAAGAGUGCAAAAACAAAGAUGAUCAGGGAUUGAUCCUCUGUGGUGAAAAUGUAGCAAAUUCUGAGAAGUCUUUGGUACAAGAUAGUGACUUGAAAACAUCUGAUGCCUUACACUUAGAAAGUUCUUCAGAAAUUGAAACCUCUAAUAAAAAUGAUAUGGCUUCUGAUAUGGAGUAUGUUGAUGAAAGAGUGAAUGUUCCAGAGAACACAGACAAUAAUUCAAAGGAAAAGCCUGUUACAUCAGAAGCAGCUAAAACUGAAGAUGUAAUUCUUUGCCAUAGUGAUACAGAUGAAGACUGUUUAAUCAUUGAUACAGAGUGUCAAAAUAAUAGUAAUGGAAAGACUGCUGAUAUGGAUUCUAAUUUAAGUUCUAAACCAGCUAGCCUAAAUUCUUCCUCAGGACAGGCUUCUGUAGGAAACCAGACUAAUACUACUUGUAGUCCUGAAGAUUCAUGUGUUUUAAAAAAACCUAUCAAACGAGUGUAUAAAAAAUUUGAUCCAGUUGGAGAAAUUUUAAAAAUGCAGGAUGAACUCUUAAAACCAAUUUCCAGAAAAAUACCUGAAAUGCUGUUGAUGAAUUCAGAAAAUUCUAAACAACCUCCUAGUUCUGAGCAACCCUCUGCUACUUCAGAUGCCUCUAGUUGGCCAAAAUCUAUAUGGCCUUCUGUGUUUCAGAAGCCAAAAGGACGAUUGCCAUAUGAACUUCAGGACUAUGUUGAAGAUACAUCAGAAUAUGUAGCUCCUCAGGAAGGAAAUUUUGUUUACAAGCUAUUUAGCCUACAAGACCUGUUGUUACUUGUGCGAUGCAGUGUCCAGAGGAUAGAGACCAGACCACGUUCUAAAAAACGGAAGAAAAUCAGAAGACAAUUUCCCGUUUACGUACUACCAAAAGUGGAGUAUCAAGCUUGUUAUGGAGUUGAAGCUCUGACUGAAAGUGAACUUUGUCGCUUAUGGACUGAAAGUCUAUUGCAUUCCAACUGCUCAUUUUAUGUUGGACAUAUUGAUACAUUUACUUCAAAGCUUUUCCUGCUAGAAGAAAUCACCUCAGAAGAAUUAAAAGAAAGACUUUCAGCCCUCAAAUUUCUUCUGUUUAAUAGGAUAUCAAGUUUAUUUAACAUCCUUCAACACAUUCUAAGAAAAUUAAGUAGCUUGCAGGAGGGUUCCUACUUGUUGUCUCAUGCAGCAGAAGAUUCUUCACUCCUGAUCUACAAGACCUCUGAUGGAAAAGUUACUAGGACAGCGUACAAUUUGCAUAAAACACAUUACAGCCUUCCUGGUGUGCCUUCCAGUCUCUCAGUUCCCUGGGUCCCGUUAGACCCCAGUCUCUUAUUACCAUAUCAUAUCCAUCAUGGAAGAAUACCUUGUACUUUUCCACCUAAAUCACAAGGUCCCACAACACAACAACAAAAGGUUGGUGGAACAAGAAUGCCUACCCGCAGCCGCAGGAAUUCAGUUUCCAUGGAAACCAAAAGUCUGCCUGCUCAGCAAGUUGAAAAUGAAGGAGUGGCUCCAAGUAAAAGAAAAAUAACUUAAGGACUGUACCAUGGAAAAUGAAGAAAAACCAGUUAUCACAACAAUCAAUUUAGAAAAGUUUGAGGGGAAAUAUACCUGAAAGAUCUGUAGGCAAGAGGAAUGUUUUUCUUUUACUGUUCUUGAGAGUUUUUAUAGUGCCUUGAAAAUACACAUUGACUAUGUGAAGCAGUGAUCCAACUAAAAUGGAACGUUGUGCUCUUAACACCUGAUGUUUGAGGAGACUCCAGAUAUGGUUUAACAUUAUCGUGGCAGGGAAAUAAAGAGAGAAGAAAAUAUUUUUAUAGUAGACCUUUUGCAAAAAAAUUUAAGUAGGAAAACAAUUUGCUUUUGCGAGAGCAAUAUUUAUCAUUAUGUAUUAUGUUAAUAAUUUGAGUUGUAUUGCCGGUCUGUUGAGGUUGGCUCAAAAGGUUAAAUCUUGCCACUGUCAGAGAUAAUUUUGAACUACAUAAACCUUAUUUCUGACCCAUUUGACAGUUUUUAUAUACUACUUUAAAAUGAUGAUUGAUGCAGGUUAAAGAAGUUAAUAUCUUGAAAAACUUGGUGAAAUUCCAUUCCAGAAGCCAAAAAGGAAAAUAAAAAAUAAAAAACCCUCUGCCUCUGAAAAUUCACAAGUAAGUUAACAGUUUUUUAUUGGGCAGUCAUCAGUUUAAAAAGAAAAAACUCUUGUGGUGUAACAGGUUCGGUGACGAAUGCCUCUAUCUCUUGGCACAAAUCCUGGCUAAGUGUUGAAAUAGGCUACUAAAAACAAAGAGAUGAGUAUAGUUUCCAGAAAAAUCUCAUAUUUCAACCAACAAGGCUAAUGUGUGGUAAAACGGAAGGUAUUUUUCUUCAUGUACACUGAUUCAUUUAAAUUUUUCAAGACCAUGGAGAUGAAUUUGGAAAAAGGCAUGAUCAAUUGAUGUUAUUAUAGUCAAUACUAAGAAGGGAUGGACUUAAGAAGGGAUGGACUUAUUUAACUUUUGUAUUCCUCUUCUUUAAUGUGCACUAAAUAUGUGCAUCUUUUGUAAAAUACAAGCUUUGUAAUAUAGGGCAAUAUUUGCUGUGUUUUUGGAAUUUUUUAUGCAUUUUAUAUUAAUAUAAGAAACUAGUCCUAGAAACCUUCUCAACUGUUAUAAAUAGCAGUUAAGUACUUUAUUUACUACCAAGUUUUGAUUUUUUUGGUUGGUUAUCAAUUUUUUUAAAAUUAAUGAGCAAUUACUAGUAAAAUUGUUUUAUGCAUUUUAAUAUAUAGUUUCCUCAUCCUGCCAUUCCCAUUUUAAAAUAUUGAGCUUGGUUUUCAGUGGUCUUGAUCUUUUUUUAACUUUGUCACAUACCCAUAUUUCCCAGAAAUAUUCCAGCUGUGAGUUAUUUGGCAGUGAACCAAGGGAGAGGCAGGGAUUCCCUUGGAAUUUGCUCUUUUAAAAAAACUAAACAAUGAUUGCUUCAGACUUCUGAAUACCAGAAAGAGUUGGCUUUCAUUUUUUUAGUAUACUUUUUACUUAGUAAAAUGUGUGAUCUUACAGGUGGUUAUUUUGAAAUUAUCUUAGCCAGCUAUGUGAGUAACCGUGAUAAUAUAAAGCUAGACUUUGUUUUCCACUUGUGCUUUAUCAAGCCUCUUUUUUCUAAUGUAUAUUUGAUCUUGUCUUGUGUUCUUUUUCUUGAUUUUUAGUACUGAGAAUGUAUAAGCAAGAAAGUGACAUUGACAGUAUGAGCAAAGAUUUAAAAAAAAACAGACUCAAUGUUGGCAAGGAUGUGAUGAGCCUGACCCACUUAAUAUCUCUGAGGUAUGCAUGAAGAAGAACACAGCAUCCCUUUGUGGUAUGUUCCUGCCAAAUAUGCGUAAGUUAUAAGGAAAUACCAGAGAAACACAAAGGCAUAGUCUGUAAAGUAAUUGGUCAGCAAUCUUCAAAACUGACAGGAUCAUGAAAGACAGAGAAACACUGGGGGACUGUUUUACUUAAAGACUAAGUUAAUGGGACUCAUAAUCCUGGUUUGUAUGUAUAGUCCAGUAAAGGACAUUAUUGGAACAACCAGCAAAACUUGGAGUUUGUAGAUUACAUGGUAGUAAUGUAUCUAUGUUAAUUUCCUUUGCUGUGGUUAUGUUAGAGCAUGCCUUGUACUUAGGAAAUAAACACUGAAGUAAAAAUUGGUAAUGGAACAUCACGUCUACAACUUAGUCUCAAAUUGGAGGACUUGGGCAGAGAAACGUUAACAGAGUGGCUUGGUGAAAGGUAUAUAGGAGCUAUAUGUACUAUUUCUACAACUUCUUUAUAAAUUUGAGAUUAUUUCAGAAUAGAAAGUUUGUGAAGGGACUACCCUGGUAGCGCAGUGGUUAAGAAUCCGCCUGCCAAUGCAGGGGACACGGGUUCAAGCCCUGGUCCGGGAAGAUCCCACAUGCCGCGGAGCAACUAAGCCUGGGCACUACAACUACUGAGCCUGUGCUCUAGAGCUCGUGGGCCACAACUACUGAAGCCUGCACGCCACAACUACUGAGCCCGUGUGCCCUAACUACUGAAGUCCAUGCACCUACAGCCCGUGCUCUGCAACAAGAGAAGCCACCGCAAUGAGAAGCCUGUGCACUGCAACAAAGAGUAGCCCCCGCUCACCGCAACUAGAGAAAGCCCACAUGAAGCAACAAAGACCCAACACAGCCAGAAAUAAAUAGAAAAUUAAUUAAUUAAAAACAAAGAAAAGUUUGUGAAAAAUGUAUUGUUCAGUGUCAGGUAUUAUAGGAAGGUCAAGGAGGAUGAAGACUGAAGAGAAAAGUCUUUUAGAUUGAAUAAUCAAUCAGGCAGAAAGACAGAAGAAUCUAAAUGAAGUGGUGGGGGAAUCAGGCACUCCUGUUUUUAGGGUCCCGGGCAUGAAAUUUUCCUUACAGUUCAAAACCCUAAAAACAAAACUUUUCUGCUUUAAAUUCCUACUGUACUUAUUAUAAUACCACAAAUUUUGAAUCUCAGCUGUUACCUAUAUUAUUCUCUUUCAAGUAUUUUGCAAAAGUCCCUAAACAGACCGUAAGCUCCUCACAGGCAACAAUUAUGUUUUUAUACAGCUGUGUGUCUAACCCAAGACCAAGCACAGGGCGAGGCAGCCUCCAGAUGCUGCAUCAACACCUAAAUUGUGCUGAUACCUCGCCAUAUACCAGUAUGCGGCUAAGUUGUCUCUAACUCAGUUUUAGAUCCCUUACUCAUAAGGGCAAGUCUAUGGGCAGCUAUGAGCCCUGCACAAGAAAAGAAAUUUAAAAACUUGUAUUUAGGGAAACCCUUGGUGGUCCAGUGGUUAGGACUGCACUUUCACUGCUGAGGGCCCAGGUUCGAUCCCUGGUCGGGGAACUAAGAUCACACAAGCAAGCAAGCAAGCAAUAAAUACAUAAUAAAAAUAAAAACUUGUGCUUAUUAAAGGCCAUGCCAGUCACCUAUCCAGAAAGACUGAAGUUCCAUGUUUUGGAUACAUUUUUACAAUACUGUCUAGCUCACAAUGUUACUAUAUGUCAUUUAAGAGCAACAAGGUAAGUAUAAAUUCAGGUUAGAUUUAACAAUUUGGAAGACACUGUAUUUAAAACCUCUUAAAAACAUUCUAUCUAGCACCCAAAACUUGUUUGGACAUGAAUAUGUAAUCUGUGAUUCUUUCUGCGGCAGAAAAACAAAAAACAACAAACUUCCCUUGUCAAAGAGUGAGACCCUUGUCCAGUCACCGGCAUGCUGAAAAGAAGCCUGCUCCACAGCUCUGGGGUUGUGUGAAUGCCAAGUAAACUCAGCUCCUCCCCAGUUUGCAAACUGCUCUUUCAACAAAAUUCUGCCCAACUUAGACUGCAGAAACUAAACUGUAAGGAAGGUAUUUUGAUUUUAGCCUGUUAGAUAGGACUGCAAAUAAAUAGGAUGUUGUGUCCAGGAACAGUCUUACUGACUGCAUCAUCCUCCAUGAGACAAUAUUUAAAUUUACUCCUGAAAGUUUUCAACUGAAAGUGAGAAAUGAGUCCGAAAUAGGUAAUAAAGUGAUUACAAUCUCUUUGUUUAAUUGAAUGAGAAAGUUAACAUUUCUAUAAAACUAAGAAAUAGAAUGUAUUUUAUGGAGUUUGUGUUUUAUGUUCAGCUAGUCUUGGGUCCCAACAAUAUGCAAACAGCAGUUUUACUAAUGUGAAAAAUAAAUAAUUGAAUACAUUUUACAAGUAUAUUAUCUGCCCUCUGCCCCACUAAAAGUGAUGCAAAUUAUCGUUUCCCAAGUGCCGCAGUGGGCAGCUGGAAAUAGUCUCUGUCCAAUUAUACAAUGAGUUCUUUUGAGUUCAGGAAGAGGGUGAGGGAGACUGAAAUCACAGUGCAUCAGGCUUGAAUGUCUUUGUAUAUGUGUGUAUGUUGGGAAGCUAAUAAAGUGGUAGGUCAGUCCCUAAUUCAGUUUGGCUUUUUUUAAUGCUACACUCUAGUGCCUGAAAACUUUUACUCUUAAGGAGCAAGGACUGUGUACCUUACUAAGUGCCUAAGGCCAAAGUGUCAUUUUGCAUAUGAGGGAGUGCUGAGUUUGCUGUCAGCCAAGCCUUCUGCCUACCAGGAGCCCCUGCUAGAGUUAAUUCACGUCCAGCAGUUGGGGAAAUCUUCAGAAUGUUAAAGACUGUCAGCUGCAACUUGGAGAGUACCAAAUAUGCCUGCCAGAUUUGUGAGAAUGUGGCCGAGCCAAUGAGAUAGAAGGUGCAGAUCUUAAAUCUACUGGAGUUGGACACGUCAGAAAUGGAUAAUAAGUACUACAGAUCCUCACACAAGUACUCGAGGGGCACAGGCUCUGGACGACACGCAGGUUCAGCGGCCAUGGCUCAUGGGCCCAGCCGCUCCGCGGCAUGUGGGACCUUCCCGGACAGGGGCACGAACUCGUGUCCCCUGCAUCGGCAGGCGGACUCCUAACCACUGCGCCACCAGGGAAGCCCUGUUGGGUCUGUUUUAAUGAGUAGAUAAGACCUGUUUACGUUUAGUAACAUCCAUGUGCCUAUAGACAUUAAUGUGCCUAAAUCAGUUACAUUUGAAUAUUAAGGGUUGAGUUUUAGAGCUAAAAGAGAAUUUGAAGAUUUUCUAGUCAAAGCCCCUCAUUUUCCAGAUAAGAAACAGAAUCAUAGAUCCUGGGUAAUUUGUCCAAGUAAAGUCAAUUAGGAUAGGAUCUCAGACCAAAACCUCUGCUUCCUGGGGUUGAUGAUGACUAGCACAGGACUCAGCGAUAGAGUACAGUCCAGCAAAGUCAGGUCUUUAAAGAUGCAGAGCCUGUCAUGGGCCCACACUGGGCGAGGUGCUGGAGUUGCAAAGACGAACAGGGAGCUCCCUGUCUAAUGGUACAGCCUGGUACGUAAACAGCCAUAGUGCCAUGGGAUAAAGAAGUACUGCAAAUAAGACAAAGGUUACGUGAAUAAAGAAGUCUAUUCUACCCUUCCCAUAAACCUCAUGCCACGAGGUAUCUUAUUUAUUAUAUUAUCUUGCUUAGCAAACCUUUUUAUUUUUUCUAGAUAGUAUAUGAACUGUGUAAGCUUUGGCCCUACCUAAGUUAUAUUAUCAUAAAUUAUGAUUCGAGGAAUCAAAAUCAAAUGAGGGACUUCCCUGGAGGUCCAGUGGUUAAGACUCUGCACUUCCACUGUGGGGGGCACAGGUUCGAUCCUGGUCAGGGAACUAAGAUCUGAUGUGCCAUGCGGCGUGGCCAGAAAAAAAAAAAGAAAUGUUGGUUUAAAAAAAAUCAAAUGAAAUUUUACUGUAUUGAGUGUUUUCUGCAGAGGGUGCUGUGAUAUCCAACUUUUACUCUAUAGUUUUUUAAUUGUAUUUUCUUGAAUAUAUUUGAAAAAAUACCAUUAAGAAGAUUGAAGUUUUCCCCAGAGCCUGCCACAAGCUGUUAUAAUCUUAGUGUGUAAGAUGGAAGCCCUCUUUUCACUAUUUCUUUUUUCAUCUAUGUUUAAAAUUAUAGAAGUAAUAUGUAUUCAUUGUUAACAAAAAUCAAAUAAUAUAAAGAAGUGUAUAAAAGGUGAGCAUUCUCCUUUACACAUACACACCAAUUUUCUUUCCCAAGAGCUAAUCAAUAUCAGCUUGGUCUAUAUCCUUCCAUAUAUUUGCAUGUGUGUGUAUAUACACUUUUAUACACCUACACAGAUAUAUAAAUAUGUAAAUGUACAUAUAUAGCUAUUAACUUAAAACUAGAGUCAAAUUAGUAUUAUUAGUCUAAUUGACUUUUUUUAACUCAGGAGUUGUAAGGUCUUUAAAGUAUAAAAAUAUUGAAACACUCAAAAUGUAUCUAGUAGACAUUUAAUAAAGAUGAAAACAUUUGAAGUAUAGUUAUCUUUAUGUGUGUUUUCAUACUCACUAAACAUUUUAUUUUAUGAAAAAUACUGUCCUAUUUUAAGCAAACUCUUAUGGCUAAGAGAUAUAUUUUUUAUUACAGAAUUAGGAUUUUUCCAGACACUUAGCACCUAAGUAAUAUUUGUAUAUAUGUUGUGGAAAAUGCUGCUUGAAGGAAUGAUAGAGGCUGAGAGAGUUUGAAAUAUUUAUCCUCUGACUUGCCAAACCAUAAAAAUGCAACAAAAUGUACUGAGGUAAGACCUAAGAUGCUACUCUGAUGGCUCAGGAAGCAUCCCAAUAUCUCAGCAAUUUAAUAUAAGAGUGAUCAUGAUAAGGUGGAUAUGUGUAGCCAGAUCUGUUUUCAUAAUGUUUUAUAUAUCAGUAUUGUAAUAACUUAGCAUGCCAACAGACACAGGUUUACACUCACAUUCUGCUUUCUCUUCUGUUUUACUCUAUAUUUUUGAAAACUGUCCAUACUGAUCUAGCUUCAGUCGGUAAUAGCCUCACUGAUGGGCACUUAGGGCAUAUCAACCUUAUAACGCUACAAUAAAAAUCCUAUACACAUAUGUUGUGGUCAUGUAUGACACCCUUUUCAGGAUAGCUUUCUUGAAGCAAAAUCACUGAAUCGAAGGGUAUGAACAUUUUAAAUAUUGAUAGAUACCGCUAAAUUGCCUUCUCACCGAUAACAUAUAAGCAUUUCCAUUUCAGCCAUUUCCAACCACACUGGAUACUAUCAGCCUUUUAGUUUUUGCCAGGUAAGUUUAAGUAUGAAUAAGGACAAGGUAAUGUUUUAUGGAGAGAAAUCCAGUAGUAAGAGGUACUGGGUAAGAGUGUGGGCACAACCAGUAACAACCAAAUGCCUGUCCUCCAGGGGCUCCUGCCUAGUUGCAGAGACCAACAAAUAAAAGAAUAACGAUGCAAGGUGAUAACUGAGAGAGGAGAAGGACAUUAAAAACGUCAAGAGAAACAGAUUAGCACCAAAUCUGCCUGCAGGGCUUGGGGAAGGUUUUCCUUCAUGAGAAAAUAAUAUUUGCUCUGAUGAUUGAAAGACGAGGAGAAACUCACUAUUAAGGAAGGUGGGAAAGGGCAUUCCAGGCAGGGAAGCAGCGUGGAGAAAGGCAUAUGGAGGCGUGAGUAUGAUUGGCAGUGGUGCAAGGUGGGAGUGAAGGGAAAGAUGUGGGCAAUUGGCUGUCAGGUCAGUCAGACCCUACCUACCAAGAAGGGUUUCCAGAGAGGGGUCAUGUAAUCAGAACUAUUUCAUAGAAAGAUAUUCUGGAUGCCUUGUAGAGAAUGAAUUGAGACCAAAAGUAUAUGUUACAGCUGGGAAAGAGAGGUUGAAGUCACUGCAGACAUUUCCCUGAAAAUAUCUGAAAACAAAACAAAUUGUGGUUUGACCACACAGAGUACUCUGUGUGGUUUGGGUCAUGAUACCUUUAUUCAACAAGUGUGUAUUGAAACCGUACCAUGAGUUCAGCAGAGCUAGAUGCUGAAAGAACUCAAAAAGCCAAUGAAAUAGCCACUGUUUUUUCAACACCUACAAUACACCAGGCACUUUUUAUACUUUGUCUAAUCUUUACAUUUGUCCUGCAGUAUCACAAAUGAGAAAACUGCGGUUGUUAAAGAAGCAGAGGGACUUCCCUGGUGGCGCAGUGGUUAAGAAUCCACCUGCCAGUGCAGGGGACACCAGUUCGAGCCCUGGUCCGGGAAGAUCCCACAUGCUGCAGAGCAACUAAGCCCGUGAGCCACAACUACUGAGCCUGCACUCUAGAGCCCAUGCACCACGACUACUGAAGCCCGCAUGUCACAACUACUGAAGCCCGCACGCCUAGAGCUUGUGUUCCGCAACAAGAGAAGCCACCACAAUGAGAAGCCCGCACACCGCAACGAAGAGUAGCCCCCACUCACCGCAACUAGAGAAAGCCCGCACGCAGCAACAAAGACCCAACGCAGCCAAAAAUAAAUAAAUAAAUUUAUUUAAAAAAAAACAGAAACAGAACAAGAUGCCAGAACUGGUUCACUCCAAGCCCCACUCUCGUUCAUGGACUCAGUCUCUCUGAUUCUCCUCUACCUUCUUCCCUCCCUCUCUUCCUUCCUUCCUUCCCUCCUUCCCUUCCUUCCUUUCUUCCUCUCUACCUCCCUCCCUUCCAUCUUCCCUCCUCUUUUAAUAUUUAUCUUCAGCUAAGUUAUAUAGGUGAAUAGUUCUAAAAGUCACAUAUUUACACAAGAAUUCUAUAUCAAUUCUAUAUAAAUCAGAGUUAAGCUUAUUUGUUAGUAACAGAGACUGGAUGUAAGUACUUUAAAUAAGGUAGAAAUUUAUUUUUUCUUUCAUGUACAAGAAAUCUGGAGGAAAGCAGUCCAGGAUUGAAUUGAUGGUUUCACAUUCGUCAGGAAAACAGCCUCCUCCUGACUUUUUGCCCUGUGCUUUUGUCUUCAUCCUCAAGUUUUUUGAUCUCCAUCCUUUGUGUGCCUAGUUUCCAUCUUCCAGUUUUCCUCAAGGUCCACAGUAACCGAGGGAGCUCCAGACAUCACAUCAAGUAUUAGGCAAAGGAAGUAGGAGAAAAAAGGGUGUUCAGAGCAAAAAAACCCAAACCAAACCAAACCAAACCAAUAAACUAAAACAGACGUUUCCUUCUCAUGGCAACUGUUUCAGCUAUAUAUUGCUGCAUAAGUAACCAGCUCCAAAUUUAGUUUCUGAAAACAAUAAUUUGUUUUGCUCACUAGUUUGCAGUUUGGACAGAGCUUGGUGGGAAAGGCUUGUCUCCACUCAUAUUUAGCUGGCAUGGUCCACCUUCAAGAGAGCUCACACAGAUGUCAGGUUGGCACUGGCUGUCAGGUAUAGACUUUGGAACGUCUCCAUAGGCUGCUUGGGCUUCCUCAUGGCAUGGUGGCUGGAUUCCAAGGCAAAUGUCGCAAGUAAACAAGGUAGAAAUACAAUCAGGAUCUAGCCUCAGAAGUCACACAGCAUUCUGUUGGUCAAAUAAGUCACAGCAGGUCAUGAGAUUCAAGGGGACUGGGCAUACCCUCCUCCUCUUGAUGGUCAAGUGGCAAAAUUCUAGAAGAGCAUCUGGGAUGGGAAAUAUUACUGUGGUCAUCUUUGGAGAAUAUAAUGUUGCGUCUCAGUCCAUUUGGGCUGCUAUAACAAACUGCCAUAGAUUGCGUGGCUUACGUGCAACAGAAAUUUAUUUCACACGGUUCUGGAGAUAGGUAAGUCCAAGAUCAAGGUCUGGUGAGGACCCACGAGGCUUGUGGGAUCUUAGUUCCCCAACCAGGGGUUGAACCUGGGCCCUUGACCCCCAGGGAAUUCCCUGGGCCUCUUUUUUUUAACAUCUUUAUUGAAGUAUAAUUGCUUUACAGUGUUGUGUUAGUUUCUGCUGUAUAACAGAGUGAAUCAGCUAUAUGCAUAUGUGUUUCCCCAUAUCCCCUCCCUCUUGGGUCUCCCUCCCACCCUCCUUAUCCCACCCCUCUACGUGGUUGCAAAGCACCAAGCUGAUCUCCCUGUGCUGUGCAGCUGCUUCCCACUAGCUGUCUAUUUUACAUUUGGUAGUGUAUAUAUGUCCAUGCCACUCUCUCACUUUGUCCCAGUUUACCCUUCCCCCUCCCCGUGUCCUGAAGUCCAUUCUCUACUCCUGGCCUCUUUUAUAAAAGUACUAAUCCUGUGAGCGUUCUGCUCUCAUGGCCUAAUCACUUCCCCAAAGCCCCAUCUCUAAAUACCCUCACAUGGAGGGUUAGGUUUCAAGAUACGAAUGUGGGGAGGAUAUAAACAUUCAGUUUAUAGCAUGCUGCAAUAUUUUUUUGUUUUCCUGGAGCUUUUCAUUUGAUAUCAAUAGUUUUUCUUAUCACGCUCACAAAUUCGUUCCUAAGCCACCCAGUGAAGCUGUUAAUGUCUUCUCAGUAUGUUCAAACACCUGGGGUAAUUUCUUCCUCCUACUCUGUCUGAGGCAUUUGUGCUAGAGCCUUUGGUCCUCUUCUCCAAGCUAGACUGGUUGCUCUUUUCUUUUUUUUUUUUUUUUUUCUUUUUUUGGCCGUGCUGCACGGCUUGUGGGAUCUUAGUUCCCCAACUAGGGAUCAAACCCGGGCCUUCGGCAGUGAAAGCACGGAGUCCUAACCACUGGACCGCCAGGGAAUUCCUUAGACUGGUUGCUCUGUAUGCCUGCUGCACAGCUAUUGUUCCAAGUUCUCCCCCAUCAUUCUGGGAAUUCUGUUCACUUAUUUGUGCAUUGAAUCCCUGGUUUUCUGGAUCCAAUGCUCCAGUUUUUGCUCUAUUCUCUUGUUUUGGUGAAGUACAUCAUUCAGAAGUCUCCUGAGACGGGGUGUAUAGUGGGAUGAAUGGUGGCCCCCCCAAAGCUUAUGUCUCCAUCCUAAGCCUCAGAAUCUGUGAGUAUUUCCUAAUUUGGAAAAAGGGUCUUUGCAGAUGUAAUCAAGUUACAGAUCUCAAGAUGAGAUUAUCCUCGAUUAUCUAGGUUGUUCCUAAAUCCAAUGAGAAGUGUUCUUCUGAAAGAAGAGGAGGAGAUGCAGAAACAGAGAAAAGGGCCUUGUGAAGAUGGAGGAAGAGAUUGGAGUGAUACAGUCGCAGAGAAUGACUGGGGCUGCCAGAAGCUGGAAGAGACAAGGAAGCAUUCAGCUUUAGAGCCUCCAGAGGGAGUAUAGCCCUGCUGAUACCUCACUUUCACACUUCUGGCUUCCAGAACUGCAAGAGAAUACAUUUGUGUUUUUUAAGCCACCAGAACUCCUAUUAUUUGGAUGUUGGGUUUUCCAGAUAAAUCUUUUUCCUCUUCUGGCCACGUCUUCAAAUAUAAUACAUUAUCAUAUACUGAUUGCAUAUAACAAGGCUCAAGACAGUAACCAGAGAGAAGACUGUUAGUGGAAGUUGGAAAAGUGGUAAGGAAAUUGCUACAGAAGGCUGGAGAAAAGGCAACCCAGGUUAUGUAUUGGCAGAAUGUUUAACAUUACUGUUGCCUGUGGUAACAUGAGUGAUAAGAAAAUGUGCCUAAUGAACUUGUGGAUCUAGUCAAGGAGAUUUCCAGGCAGAAUGCUGAAGAUGCCAGUGGUCUUUUUUAGCCACUUAUGAUAAAGUACAACAAGAAAAAAAAUGCACUAAAUAAAGAUCUGUUUGGUUUUCAAGCAGAAUUCUAGCCAAUGAAAGGUUUGCAA